rnacentral:rRNA from 1 species
UACGUAGGGUGCAAGCGUUGUCCGGAAUUAUUGGGCGUAAAGAGCUCGUAGGCGGCUUGUCGCGUCGGCUGUGAAAACUCGGGGCUUAACCCCGGGCCUGCAGUGGGUACGGGCAGACUAGAGUGCGGUAGGGGAGACUGGAAUUCCUGGUGUAGCGGUGAAAUGCGCAGAUAUCAGGAGGAACACCGGUGGCGAAGGCGGGUCUCUGGGCCGUAACUGACGCUGAGGAGCGAAAGCGUGGGGAGCGAACAGG